GAUGGAGAACGUAGCGAAAUGCGAUAAGUAAUGUGAAUUGCAGAAUCCAGUGAAUCAUCGAAUCUUUGAACGCACAUUGCGCCCGCCAGCAUUCUGGCGGGCAUGCCUGUUCGAGCGUCAUUUCAACCCUCGACCUCCCUUUGGGGAAGUCGGCGUUGGGGACCGGCAGCACACCGCCGGCCCUGAAAUGGAGUGGCGGCCCGUCCGCGGCGACCUCUGCGUAGUAAUCCAACUCGCACCGGAACCCCGACGCGGCCACGCCGUAAAACACCCAACUUCUGAACGUUGACCUCGAAUCAGGUAGGACUACCCGCUGAACUUAAGCAUAUCAAUAAGCGGAGGA
rnacentral:misc_RNA from 1 species